rnacentral:lncRNA from 1 species
UUGUAAGGCAGAUUGCUUCCUUGCUGCACGUUUGUGAGCAAGUAAAUUGUUUUUGUUUCUUCCUCCUUUGUUCUCUGUUUUGUUCUUUUUCUAAGAGCUGCUGCCAUUGUUCUUUCUUUUUCUUUUUUCUUCCUGUUAACCGAGAGCUUAUGCUCUUGAUGCUUUGUGUUUCUGCUUGCUGUUUGAAGAGCUUAUGCUCUUAGUGUUUCAUUGUUUGGUUGCUGCUGCCAAAUGUUCCAACACAAGCUCGUAGUUCAUGUUCAAAAGAAAGAAAAGAGGAAUAAAAAUUAUGGACAAGUUUUUAUGAUGCGUGUGGCCCGAAUGUUUGAAAAACAAGUAAAGAAGGUAGAGUUAUUGAAGCACCUUUCUCUUUAACUAGUUGAUGUACUUGAACCUCUUUUCUUGCUUUAAUAUAUUCCAUAACAUGUAGAAGGUCUAGUGAAUCAAAAGUCAUACAAUUUCACAAAGCUGACUCAUGAAUUAUUGUUUUUUAAGGGACCCCAUUAAAUAGAUCUCAUAAAUUUAAAGGCAAGUAAAGGAAGAAAAUGGGAAGAAUAUGGCCUAAGGAAUCUAGAAAAAGAAGAGAAACAAAAGGAACUAGUCAACAUCCAACUAAAGAAUAAUGGAAAAUUUCUUCAGAUGUAAUAUUACGUCAAGGCACAGUCCCACAGUUGUGAAAAUGAUGUUAGCAAUAUGUCACAAAUUAAACUUUAAAUUAUCCUUAUCAUCUGGUCUUUUUUACCGUAAGAAAAAAAACAAGCAUGAAACACCUCAUGUUCAAAUGACAGUAGAAUGUUUUUCCAGCAUAAGCAUCAGUGGGUGAAAGAUACACAAGUUUGAUAAAGACCUGCCUCUAGAAACCAUGUUGUACCCUUCAAGCGAGAUAAAGGUAAGUAUUGCAGAUACCGGAUUCGAAUGCUUAUACUUGUUAAAUGUCAUGUUGAUUAACAAUAACAAAAUGAACCAAUUGAGUUAAAUUUCAAGUUCAGCUCAGUGAUAAUUUAUAAUUUUUCGUUCUCUAAAAAGAAAAGCAAAAGGCUAGUGAUAUAGUGAGGUGAAGUUAAAUAAAUAAAUUUCACUGUCUGGAUAAAUACAUGAUAAAUUAAUAAUGCAAAAUCCUGGGUUCAUACUGCAGCAUUGCAUAUAUGAUAAUGCAGCACAGCGCAGGGCUUACAAAUGAUUGCUUUCUUAACAGUAGGACAGUAAAUGUGGAAGUGGCUUCACUUAAUGAAGCGCAGUUAUAAAAAUAUUUAAGGUAAAAUAUCUUUGUCCAAGACCCCACAGACAGAGACAAAGUAAAAGCAUGCAGUAAUAUUCCUUCAAAUAAUUCAGCCAAAGUCAUAUCUGAUGGAAUGGAACAUCCAACACCGAGUACUGCCUCUUAGAAAAUACAAUCAAUAUUCAAUUCAGGAAUGUAAACAUCAGUAGAGGCAAAUUUGAACAAGAAGAGAGAAGCAACAAGAAUGAGUAGAAGAAAGAACAUACAAAGCAACAAGAGAACAAAAGAAAGUGAGAGAAUGAGUAUGGUUUCUUUUCUUGAUUAAUCAACUCAACUUCUUCACUGAUAUUACUGCGUGUUUAUACAGAACAUACAUGAUAGCUGAUGGCUGUCAUUAGUUGAUGUUGGUAUUGGUGUGUGGGGAUAAAACUUGUGAGAAAUUAAUCGAAGGUUUCAAGCCGUGUAAUUGAUGAGGGGCGAAGUCAGAAUAAUUUUUUAAAGGAGUCAAAAUUAAAUUAUAAUUUUUACAAUAGUAAAAAUACAAUUUCACCAUUUUAAUAGCC